CCCGUGAGCUCCCUGGUCAGGGGCCAGGCAGUGUCCACCUAGUGCUGCGGAGAGUCUGCGUUACAGGCAGGGGUGGGCAGGUUAGCACAAGAGGCCUUUGAAAAAUCAGGUGGUCGGUCCUGAGAUUGGUGAUGGCCUGGAGUUCUGGCUUCCAGAUCCGGGGAGUGGCCUUCCAGGAGUGAGUGUCCAGCAGCACGAGUGAUGCAGUGGCAGGAGCACACUGCUGCACACUGCUCUGGUCAGUAUUUAUGGAGGAUCUGACACUAGGAUCUGCCACGUUUUCAUUGGCAACACCCCACAACCUGCUUACAGGAGCUUCUUCCGGGUGCUCUUUGGAUCCAUGAUGUAAAUGCCCACUUUUUUCUGUAGAUGCACUGUUCCCCUGGACGUCAUGUUUGGUGUCAUCUAAGUGGGUUCCUUCUGCACAGAAUUUGACAACAUUUUCCUGCUUCCUUUGAAGGAAAUCAGGGUCUCCAAGCAUUUAGGUGAAAUUCAUUUUAAAAUUUGUAAGAACUGGACCACCCAAUCAUCAAGGCUUCAUCUGCCAAGUGAAUCUUCAGAGGAACUGAAAGAUGUGCCAUUUCUGGUACGUACCUGUAUUUCUUUGAAUAUGAAGACACCCCACAUUGCAGCUAUAAGUCCUGGACCCUUAAA